rnacentral:rRNA from 1 species
UACGUAGGGUGCAAGCGUUGUCCGGAAUUAUUGGGCGUAAAGAGCUCGUAGGCGGUUUGUUGCGUCGGCUGUGAAAUCCCGAGGCUCAACCUCGGGUCUGCAGUCGAUACGAGCCAACUAGAGUGUUGCAGGGGAGACUGGAAUUCCUGGUGUAGCGGUGAAAUGCGCAGAUAUCAGGAGGAACACCGGUGGCGAAGGCGGGGUCUCUGGGCCGAUACUGACGCUGAGGAGCGAAAGCGUGGGGGAGCGAACAGG